GGGGAGGGGAAGGAGAGGGGUUGAUAGAGAGCAUCUGCCAUGGUUUAUUGUUGCCCUGCAAUUAAACAGUGACAAACAGCCAACAUGGUUUCACUAAGGGUAAAUCAUGCCUGACCAAUUUGGUGGCCUUCCAUGAUGAGGUUACAGCAUUGCUGGAUAAGGGAAGUGCAAGUAUUGUACCUGGGCUUGUGAAAAGCAUUUGACACUAUCCCACAUGACAUCCUUGUCUCUGAAUUGUAGGGACAUAGAUUGGAUGGGUGGACCACUUCAUGGAUAAGAAACUUUCUGGAUGGUCGCACUUAAAGAAUUGUGGUCAUGGGCUCUAUGUCCAGGUAGAGACCAGUGACGACUGGCAUAUCUCAGGGGUCUGUUGGUAUUGGGACUGGCACUGUUUAAUAUCUUUGUUGGCAACAUGAAUGGUGGGACUGAGUGCACCCUAAGUAUGUUUGCAGACAACACCAAGCUGUGUGGUGCAGUCGACACCGUACAGACCACAACAGAAGGGAUGCCAUCGAGAGGGACUUUGACGGGCUUGAAAGGUGGGCCUCUCCAAACAUAAUGAAGUUCAACAAGGCCAAGUCCAAGGGUCAGGGCAAUUCCAAGCACAAAUACAGCUGGGUGAGGAAUGCAUUGAGAGCAGCUGUGAGAAGGACUUGGAGGUGCUGGUUGAUGAGAAGAUCAGCAUGAGCUGGCAAUGCGCACUUACAGCCCAGAAAGCCAACUGCAUCCUUGGCUGCAUCAAAAGAACCAUGAGAAGUAGAUCAAGGGAGGUGAUUCUCUCCCUUUGCUCCACUCUCAUGAGACUCCUCAUGGAGUAUGUGUUCAGCUCUGGGGCCCCCAAAAUAAAAAGGAUAUGAACCUGUUGGAGUAAGUCCAGAGGAGGGCCAUGAAGAUGUUUAGAGGACUGGAGCACAUCUCCUAUGAAGACAGGCUGAGAGAGUUGGGUUUGUUCUGCCUGGAGAAGGCUCCAGGUAGACCUUACAGCAGUCUUCCAGUACCUAAAGGUACAAGAAAGAUGGAGAAGGACAUUUUACAAGGGAUUGUAUUGAUAGGACAAGGGGUAUAAGCUUUAAACUGAAAGAUGGAAGAUUUAGAUCACAUGUAAGGAAGAAAUUCUUCCCUAUGAAGGUGGUGAGGCACUGGAAUAGGCUGACCAGAGAAGCUGUAGGUGCCCCAUCUCUGGAAGUGUUCAAGUAGAGGUUGAAUGGGGCUUUGAGCAACCUGUUGUAGUGGAAGGUGUCCCUGCCCAUGGAAGGGGGGUUGGAAUCUUUAAGGUCCCUUCCAACCAAAACCAGUUUAUGAUUCUAUGAUUCUAUGUUUCUAUGUUUAAUUCAGAGCAUAAGUAGUUGCGUUAAUGUCAACACAAAUCUUGAAGUAGAGUUCUUCCCUAAAUGUUUAUAGAAGUCCUUAAAAUAUUUCUGCUGGGUUAUCAAAGCUAUACAAAGGGUUUUGAUUCCCAAUUAUAAUUAGAAAUUAAUUGAGACAGGGUAUUCAAAUCCCUUAUGUACAGUUCUGUAUAUGGAAUUCACAUAAUGUGGAUAAGCAGAAAUUAAGAGGAAGUGGAUGCUCCCAAUGCAUUGAAAGCCCUGGCUUUCACUUAUAUUGAAAAUAAAAUUAUAUUUCUGAAGAUUCUAAAAAUUCUGAUGUUAUUCCAUAGCUUUAAAAUGACAAUGAAUAGCUCAGCAACAAAUAUUAGAAACAAACUGUCACAUUUUUAAGUAUCAAAUGUAUAUUUAUAUAGCAGAUUGAGACGGCUACUACAGGGAUAAUCUUUGCUAAUUUAACAAGGCAGAAAUGGAUUUCUAAUUAAAAAAAAGGUACUUAGAAACAUAUUAUUAUAUUUAAUAGAAUCUCUUCGCAUUUUCUUUCUUCUGAAUUAAUACCUUCCAAUGAGCUCGGAUUCUGUAAGUCUUUAAGUCUUUUUUUUUUUUUGUAGAAGCGUGUGACAUUAUUACCCUUAUAUUUGAUCCCAUCAAGACAAGUAUCAUCAGACUAGGAUUGUUACUGUCCUCCCUCACUAAAAGCAAUAGUUUAAACCAACUAGAUUAAUUCAGGUUAGAUAUAUGAACUCCUCCUGAUGUCAUUGCUAACUGCAUAAAAGCAAAUAUAUUAAAAUAAAUAAAUAAUAAUUUAAAAAACCCCAAACCUGGCCAUUUCUAUUUGUAAUAUAUUCUCUUGAUGAAAAAACACCAAUCCAUUUUAGUUUCACUGAAUAUUUAUAUAUAUUUGAACACAAACACAUAAUUAUGCUGUUAUUCUAACCACUUUUAAAAUCAGAAGAAAAAAACGAUCCUUUUUCUCCUUCUGUAGACCUUGGAUCAAGCCCCUUAGAAGCAGUUCCAGUGAAAACAAUGGAAUCACUCAUGACAGAAUUUGGACAGAACUUUUAAUAAUUAUUCUAAUAAAAUCUGAAGCAAAAAUAAUAUGGCGGAAAUUAAAAAGAGGCAGGUGCUAUUUUUAAUCAAACUCAGGUUUUUUUUUAAUGUAAGUUUUUUGUUUUGUAUAAAGAUAAUUAAAAUGGAACAAACUGGUGAAAUAGUUUCUAACUUCCUAGUAAUACUGAAUGAGGGAGAAAUUUUUCAUUGAAAAGAUAAUUGGCAUAUUUAGCUAAUCUUUUAUUAAUGUAGCACAGUUGUAGCACACAUCUCGUCUCAGAAAAGUCAACAUGGAAGUUUUUAUGUCUUUAUGCUCUGACUCUACUUUUUAAUGAUUCUCUGUAGAUUCAGUUUUUUGUAACAUAUAUGAGAUUUUUCAUUUUUAUGUGUGCUGUAAACUACACAGUUCUAUUCAGUGAAGAACAUGUUCCUUUCAGUAUGAAAUCUUUAUGCAACACACUCCUAUUGUGGGAAAUAUGCAGAACGUUCACUGACACAUUUAAUAUAAAGAAAAAUAAUAAUUACACUUUAUGUUCUUGAUAUAUAACAUUUUAUAUAAAAUCAUGUUUUAUGGAAUGUGUAAAACAAUACAUUCUCAACUGCAAAAAGUCACUAGAGUAGGAGGAGGUUUGUAGUAUCUCAAAAAAAUAUACAAAAAAGUGAUCAAUUAUAAUGUUCCAGUAGAUUAAUAUAAAAAAUUAUACUCCUAAUUUUUCAAAGAGUAUUUCAGAAUAACAGGUCUCUCCAAGACUGCAGUAGUGCAUGCAGUAGUGCAUGUUAAUGAUAGAUAAAUACUUGACAAACCAUUGCUGGACAUAAAGAAUAGGUAAGGAUUCCUUAUUUAUAUAAAGACAAAGAAAAAUUACUCCUUCACACAGCUUUAAAGAGGGAAAGAUUAUGUAAGUCUUCAAGUGUCCAUUCCAAAAUCUUAGUAGGACUAAAAACAACUAACAGUGAAAUACUGCUACAGAAUCCAUUUCAUAUUUUAAAUGUAGCAAGCUGGGACAGGAUUUGGAGGAUCUGAUUUGUGCUACAUGAAUACUCACACUGGAAAGAUAUGAUAGAAAACAAAGUCACAGAAUCACAGAAUGUCUGGGGUUGGAAGGAACCUCUGGAGAUCAUCUUGUCCAAUCCACCUGCUAAAGCAGGUUCAUCUAGAGCAGAUUGCACAGGAAUGCAUCCAGGUGGGUUUUGAGUGUCUCCAGAGAAGGAGACUCCAUAACCUCUCUGGGCAGCCUGUUCCAGUGCUCUGUCACCCUCCAAGUAAAGAAGCUUCUCCUCGUAUUCAGAUGGAACCUUCUAUGCUUCAGUCUGUACCCAUUGCCCCUCAUCCUAUCAUUGGGCACCACUGAAAAGUCUGGUCACAUCCUCUUGACACCCACCCUUCAGAUUUUAUAAGCAUAAAUAAGAUUCCCUCUCAGCAUCUUCUUCUUUAGGCUGAACAGUCCCAGCUCUCUCAGUCUGUCCUCGUAAGAAAGAUGCUCCAGACCCCUAAUCAUCUUCAUAGCUUUCCGCUGGACACUCUCCAGUAAUUUCUUGUCCUUCUUAAACUGAGGAGCCCGGAACUGGAUGUAGUACUCCAGGCAUGGCCUCACCAGAGCAGAGUAGAGGGGGAGGAUAAUCUCCCUCGACCUGCUGGUCACACUUUUCCUAAUGGACCCCAGGAUACCAUUGGCCUUCUUGGCCACAAAGGUACAUUCCUGGUUUAUGUUCAACCUGUUGUCCACCAGGACUCCCAAGUCCUUCUCCACAGAGCUGCUUUCCAGCAUGUCAACCCCUAACCUGUACUGGUGCUUGGUGUUAUUCCUCCCUAGGUGCAGGAUUCUACACUUGCCUUUGUUGAAUUUCAUUAGGUUCUUCUCUUCCCAGUCCUCCAGCCUGUCCAGAUCUUGCUGAAUGGCAGCACAGCCUUCUAGUGUGUCAACCAAUCCUCCCAGUUUUGUAUCAUCAACAAACUUGCCAACGCCAGUGCCUUUGAGCUUCUGCACUGAUUUUUACUGUCAUGUGGAUUGCAGUCAUCUCAUUAAUUUGUAAUCCAGUUCUCCACAUGUCUGAGCAUCCAGAAAGGACACAUAAUCUAGGAACCUGAAAACAGUGUAGCAUAUCGUUGGUCUUAAUAAUUAGAUAUUACGUGUGUGAAAUUGUUUUCAGAAUCAUAGAAUGCUUAAGGCUGGAAAAGGACCCCUGAGGUCAUCUAGUCCAAUCACCUGCUCAAAGCAAGGUCACGAUACUCCAGAUGCAGUUAAACAGAUGCUGAGUAGAGGGGAAGGGUCACCUCCCAUGGCCUGAUUGCUACUCUCUUGCUAACGUAACCCAGGAUGCUGUUGACUUCCCUUUCUGCAAGGCAAAUUGCUGACUCCUCUUCAAUUUACUGUUCAGCAUGUCCCUUCAGUUCUCCCCUGCAAAACUGUUAUUUAAUCAGCCAACCCCAAUCUUGUACUGUUGUAUGAAAUUAUUCUACCUUAGACAAAUGUAAUUACAUUUGCCUUUGUUCAGACCCAUUAAAUCUCCAUCAACCCAUCUUUCCCAGCUUCUCUAGAUCACACUAGAAGCCUUGGCCUCCAAAAUUUUGACCGUGAUCCACAAUUCAGUAUUUACUGUAAACUUUCUGAGGGUACAUUUCAUUUAAUAUUCUGGGUCAUUAAUAAAAUCACUCAACAGUUUUGGUGCAAGGAUCAGUCCCUGAGGAAUAUCACUAAGACUAGCUGCCAAAAGUCCUUCUGAACUUCCAUGCAUUUUACAGUCCUCUUAUCUCUUCCAUAUCUCAUUGAUUUGCUUAUUAUGAAAGCAAGGUAGAUGGGAUCAUGAGCCUUCCUAAAAUCAAAGAAAACAACCUCUGCUCUCUCCUUGUCACAGAGCUGGCCCUCCCUGUGAUUUACCAAGAGACUAUUCGCCCUUGGUAAAUUCAUGAUCAUUGUUCCUGGUCAUUGUCUUGUCCUUCCUGAAUUUGGAAAUGGCUUCUAGUGGAUUUAGUCCAUAACAUCCUCAAGGACCAAGUUACUAGCAAGUUUCCUGAUCAGCAUGACCUUUCAAAUGUUGUGAAGUACUUGCAGUGACAUUGGUCAGCUUCCUCAGCACCCCUGGAUGCAUCCCAUCUCAGGCCACUAACUCCUUCUUUCUGUCCUCACCUCAGUCUUCCAUGCACAUGGAAAGAAAUGAGUUCCCUAGAGAGGCCUCUGUUCUCUCAAGCAUCAGGACAACUCUGCUGUCUCCCAGGGAUAGAGCAACACCACAGCAAUGCAAUCUGAUCAAGUAUUAGAGCCCUGAGUUUUAUGUUGGAUGUGAAGUCACUGGCAAAGACCAUAGCAGACUGAACUGAAUACUACCUUGAGGAAAAAAAAAGAAAUCGCCCACAUGCACAGCAAUACUUUACACAAGAGCAAACAUCAGACUUACUGUUUGACUGUUCAUUAUUUAAUUCAAAAGGAAGGCGACUGACUUUUCUAGGUACUAACAUGCUAAGAACUACUUUAUUAAAAAGAAAAACAGCUAUCAAACUAUUAACAACACAGGAAAGUAUUCCUUUUAUUAUCCAAUAAAAUUUAAAUGUGUACCUCUAUCUGAUAUUUAUAGUGGCCAUUGAACUAAACAUUUGUGUUGACAUACAUCUUCCCUGGAGUCUACAACUAUUCUGAUAGCUUGGGGGUUUCUGCAUAUCCAGGCGUUUAUUGUGCAGUGUCUGAACAGGCACUACAAGAUCACAUUGUUAAGCUUUUCUCCACGUGAGGGCUAGAAAUUUCCUUUAAAAUAUAGGCUGAGAUUUUGAUGGAAUCUCAUGACCUCAAAACACAAGGGAAACUCCAGGGCAGGGCACUUGCUUUUAUCUUGUCUUCAGCUGGAGGGUGGAAGAUUACAUUGCCACAACUGAGAAGUAAUAUUUCUACUGCUGUGAUCCUAUGAAACUGUCUUCUUCAAAGUAAUACACAUAAUUUUAGUUGAGGUUUCUGAAUUAAUUCUCCUGCUCUUUAGAUUAAAUUCUAAAAAUGAUUGUCUUUCA